CCUAUCGUAAGCAUUGGAAAGAGCCACGAUGACGUAGGCAUUGUAUUUCGGCUGGACUGAAACUGACCUUUAUGAGUAUAGUAGAGGAGACAUGAACGAGAACUGUACGAGCGCGUCGUGGAUGAUCAAACGAGGAGGGCUACUAUCCGAUCCUGAACGUAAACCCGCGAGGAACUACUCCGAAAAUACGAAGAUCCGACGCAGAAGAAAUUCGAGACAUACCUGCGCAACGACAAGUGUUAUGAGAGAAAUGGAAGAUUUCGCGAAUGCGAGUACAAGGUUUGCUGCUUGAGCGCUUCAACUGCCUACGAAGAGGGGCGGCGAAAGUACGCACGGCGUCUACUGUAUAAGUAGCAACUUGGAAACUCGCGCUCCGCAGGAAAAAAAAACAGUGGAUUCCCGUUUAUUCCAUCGGAUGCAAGAGUCAAGCUCAGUAACCGCUGGCACAACUGGACGGGUGAUAGGUCUCACAUGGAACUAUAAUGCUGAACCCUUAUGUCUGCGUCUCUGCAUUUUUUGAAAUUGCUUUACUUGCGUUUCUAAAGGUACGAUGUGUACGAUGUAAAGCAUGAGAAGAAAUUCUCAUUUACCCAAGUAGCUUUAUAGCAUGCAUAGCAAUGGCAAACACAAGGACAUAAUCAUGAACCUUUUAGCUUUCGCAUUCCAUCUAACCAACGGUGUCAAAUCGCCUGGGCGCUCAUUCGUUCACCUGCACUUUGUAUUGAACACAUUUGUCAACAAUAAACCCAAUUAUUUCGUCGGAAAUAUCGGUAGUCAUUACCGCCACGUAUGUGCUGAAAUUAAAUCAGUGUUUAUAACACCUUUAGUGCUUCAAUAUCGUCAGGUGACGAACGCUCUGUUUAUAGACAUGGUUUCACGUCGCGAUAUUGGCUUGUUCGGAAACGGUUUCAUUUCAGGCCAUUAAUGCAUCAUCAUUUAUGCGAGACCAGACUCAAUCGAGAUGAGGUUGCAUCAUCGAUAAAGAUAUAACGGGUGCACUUACGUAAUGGUUCUUCUUAGAAGGUCCCAACAGCUCUAAGUGCACUGCAAUCAGAGUAACCUGGAAGGUAAACGAGACUAAUGCUGUUGUUUUAGUGCCCGUUGACAAAUAGACUGCGGUGGUUGAUUACGUGUGUAAUUUCGUGUAGGAAACUGUAUAGCGUGUGUGUAAUACAUUAAACGUGGUCACUUGAUACUGAGAAAUUCUUUAUAGGGUAUUUAGCAAAUAACUUCACAUGAUGUUUAAUCUUAUGAUAUGUAUGAAUAUUAAUAUAUGUUAGUGGUUAUAUAUGUGUAACGUCAUGCAGU